CAAAGGAGAUUUGGACAACUC
rnacentral:miRNA from 1 species